GCCCUUGUAGCUCAGCUGGUAGAGCAACUGAUUUGUAAUCAGUGGGUCGGGAGUUCGAGUCUCUCCGGGGGCACCA
rnacentral:tRNA from 2 species